UGAGUACGAGACGCUACGGCGUCGAAGCAGUCUAUGUCAUACUUCCAAGAAAAGCUUGCACUGUCAUAAACAAAUAAUGCCUGUACCAUAACCGACACAGGUGGGUAGGUAGAGUAUACUAAGGGGCGCGAGAUAACUCUCUCUAAGGAACUCGGCAAAAUGACUCCGUAACUUCGGGAGAAGGAGUGCCUUAUUCUUAAGGUUGCAAUAACAAGAUCCAAGCAACUGUUUAUCAAAAACACAGGUCUCCGCUAAGUCGUAAGACGAUGUAUGGGGGCUGACGCCUGCCCAGUGCCAGAAGGUUAAAGAAGUUGGUUAGCAUUCGCGAAGCUGAUAACUGAAGCCCUGGUGAACGGCGGCCAUAACAAUAACAGUCCUAAGGUAGCGAAAUUCCUUGUCGGGUAAGUUCCGACCCGCACGAAAGGCGUAAUGAUUUGGAUACUGUCUCGGAGAGGGGCUCGGUGAAAUAGACUUGUCUGUGAAGAUGCGGACUACCUGCACCUGGACAGAAAGACCCUAUGAAGCUUUACUGUAACUUGAAAUUGAAAUUGGACUUUAUUUGCGCAGUAUAGGUGGGAGGCGUUGAGAAUAUUCUUGCGGGAAUAUUGGAGCCAUCAGUGAGAUACCACUCUUGUAAUGUUAGAUUUCUAACUUUGAAUCAUUAUCUGGUCAAAGGACAGUUUCAGGCGGGCAGUUUGACUGGGGCGGUCGCCUCCUAAAUGGUAACGGAGGCGCACAAAGGUUUCCUCUGAACGGGUAGAAAUCGUAUCUAGAGUGUAAAGGCAUAAGGAAGCUUGACUGUGAGACCUACAAGUCGAGCAGGGACGAAAGUCGGUCUUAGUGAUCUGACGGUGCUGAGUGGAAAGGCCGUCACUCAACGGAUAAAAGUUACUCUAGGAUAACAGGCUGAUCUCUCCCAAGAGUUCACAUCGACGGGGAGGUUUGGCACCUCGAUGUCGGCUCAUCGCAUCCCGGGGCGGUAGUACGUCCCAAGGGUUGGGCUGUUCGCCCAUGAAAGCGGUACGCGAGCUGGGUUCAGAACGUCGUGAGACAGUUCGGUCCAUAUCCGGUGUAAGCGUUAGAAUAUUGAGAGGAGCCUUCUUUAGUACGAGAGGACCGAGAAGGACAUACCUCUGGUGUACCAGUUAUCGUGCCAACGGUAAACGCUGGGUAGCUAUGUAUGGAGAGGAUAACCGCUGAAAGCAUCUAAGUGGGAAGCCCACCUCAAGAUAAG
rnacentral:rRNA from 1 species